GACAGAGGGUGCAAACGUUGCUCGGAAUUACUGGGCGUAAAGCGCGUGUAGGCGGACUGGUAAGUCGGACGUGAAAUCCCUGAGCUCAACUCAGGAACUGCAUCCGAAACUAUCAGUCUGGAGUAGUGGAGAGGGAAGCAGAAUUCCUGGUGUAGAGGUGAAAUUCGUAGAUAUCAGGAGGAACACCGGUGGCGAAGGCGGCUUCCUGGACACUAACUGACGCUGAGACGCGAAAGCGUGGGGAGCAAACAGG
rnacentral:rRNA from 1 species